rnacentral:snRNA from 1 species
ACACUACAUAUUUAUUUACAUGUUUACUAUAACUUAACUUGUGACUAACCUUACUUGCUGUACCAUCCAAAAGCUAAUUUUUGCAGGUGCUGGGUGUAAAUAUAGAGUAACCAGCACCA